AUGACCCUCAGCUCUUCAAAAGUGCAGCCCUCCUAGAAGGGACAGUCAGGUUGUUAGUGGGACCCUGACCUUCUGGGAUCUUCAUUGCUCAGGCUUUUGGGAUUCUGUAGAAACUCUCCCUGGCUGCAGGCUGGACUCCCUGUAGUUGCCGUGGGCUUCUCAGAGCCUGUGCUCAGCUGGGCCUCCCCUGAACCCUGCUCCCCCUCCUGUCUUCUGUUUUACAGAGGACCUACAACAUGCCAAGGCCACAAGAGGAUCGGUGGGGAGAGAAGAAAAAGAGACAAACCUGCUAGUGACUUCAAAGUGCCCAUGAUUUUGCAACACAACACCUCUGUGAAGCUGCGCUGCACGGGGAGCCCAGGCCAGGAGGCCCAGCUCUGCUCUCUCCUGGGUCCGGUGCUCAGGCACCUGCACCUGCUCACACACCUGCACCUGCUCACCUGGCAGCCUGACACCAGAGGAGGUUGAUUCUGCCGUAUGGGGCCGGGAGGGACUCCAGAGUCUCUGAGAACCCUCUGCCCUUACUGCUUCCUGCGCCACAGACACUGGACAUGUCACCCUGGAGACAGUGGCUCUGCGUCAGCCUCCUGCCAAUGAACAAUUGCAAGCUCUGCGAGAGGCCCGGGCCUCCCACCAGGAGCUGAGCCAGGACCAGGAAUGUCUUCCACACCCACCAACGGCUCCUCCAUGGCUCCAGUCUCGGUGAAGCAGCAAAAGACAUGGAUUUUCCAGGACCCAGGCCAGAGGCCCCCCCAAGGCGUCAGAGGGUGGGUGUGGCAGUGAGAUCCUGGCUUCCUCUCCUGUAGCACCUCUCCUCUGCUGGACGACUGACAGCUCUCUGGUAGCAGCAGAGAGCAGCACAAGGACACGGAGGGCGAGAGAUCAGGGAUGCUUCCUGGAGCCUCUCUGCCCACUGAUGGGAGAGGAUGAGCCUGGUGAGAGGCCCCCAGGGGCCACAGAGGCAGGAUGGGCCAUCUCAGUGCAUGGAUUUCCAGUGUGAGGCUGGACCAAGUGGCUUUCAUGGGCCUGCUGGUCUUGUCUUUGCGGGGGGGACCUCUUGUAAUGAUGUGGUUCCCUCUGGAGGGAAAUGGAGCUGAGGGUAGCUGAGGAUUUGGCAGAAGGAAGGGGGGAGGGGGGAAGGCAGAGCUUGAUUGACAGCCUCCAAGACGGAAAAUGAAAAGAAAAGGGCCACCUGUGGUAAGAAAGACCUCAGGUUACUUGUUACUGCAGCAUAGCAUUACCUAUCCUGCCUAAUACACACUCAGCCCAGGGACGGCCUCAAACUAGGCACCCUUCAGGGCUGACAGUUGAAUUAGGUAAUGCUGUUCCAAUAGGUCAGGGUGAGAUACCUCAGUCCAGCUUCUCUGGACUCCAUCCUGCUUCAUCCAUAAGAUGGUUGCAGCUGCUGGUGCCUGCUUUGGUCUGGCUGGUGCACACUGGUUGGCAAAGGGCCUGGCCCCCAGGAAACGCCCACUCUCAGGGAUGUCGCUGGCUGAGUACUCCUGAAGUCAGAAGCUACUCCAUGGAGCCUUUCCUAAUCUCAUUUAAACCUCGUGGCAACCCUCCAUGGCGUGACUUCCUUUAAAACGGAGAAGAGAGGUUAAACAGGUUUUAGAAUCUGCAAGCCCAGGUCUGUCUGGCCCCAAACAUCCCCCCUCCGCUCCUCCUCCUCUUCUUCCCACACCUUCCCCAGCUCCACGGGGCCCUUCUCGCCUCUGGCAUCUCAGAGCCUGUCCACCCAUCAGGAUGUGGUCCUUCCAGGGACUCUCACUCGUCCCUGGAUGGCAGGGGUCUGUGGCACUGUCUGCUCCACAGCUUCCCACCCCAGAUUCACUGUCUCCCCAAACCCCCAUUUUCUGAUGGUUUUGAAGGCACCAUGAUUCAGAGACAAGAGACCUGGGUGCUGACCCAGACAGAUGCGGAGUCAAAUCCCAGCCCAGGGACAGCCAGGCUCCAUCGUCACCAGCAGCUCAUCACUUAGCUGCUAGCUCUGUCUCUUGGGACAAUUGCACCCACCAAGCCCACCAGGCUGGAAUGGGAAAGACAUCAGCAUGGCCAUUACUGGAACUGGAAGUCCCCUGAGGACAAGGGGCAGGGGCUGAGUCAUUACCGCUUACCUCCCCGGGCCUGGGGUGGCAGGCACUGGGCCAAAUGUUUUCACAUCUCCUUCUUCCAGGCUCCUUGUGGGACUCUUGUCCUGUCCCACGUGGCUCAGUGGGACCUCAUGACUUGUUCUGCACAGUGUAUCAUCAGGGCAGAAGUGAUGCCUGUCACUUCCUCUUGAUCAUCUUUAGUGGCUGGUGCAAAACCACCAGGGUUUUCCUCUCCCCUGGCACAACAGCUGCUCUAUCCCCCAGAUUCUGUGGGUGGCCAUGAUGAAUAGAGCCAAACCCACCCAACCUACAGUGGACAGGUAGGAUCAGCAAAAAUCAAUAUCUGGGUUUUUUAAGCCACUGUGAUUUGGAGGUUACUUGUUACUGCAGCAUAGCGUUACCUAUCCUGCCUAAUACACACUCAGCCCAGGGAGGGCCUCAAACUAGGCACCCUUUAGGGCUGACUGUUGAAUUAGGUGAUGCUGCUCCAAUAGGUCAGGAUGAGAGACGUCAGGGCCUGAAGACCCUGGUGCAGCCAUGAGGAGGACAGGGCUGCAAUGUGGGAGUCUCCCUGCUCACUUCAGAGACCGUCUUGGUGAAUACAGCUCUACAGAACACAAAGAGCAGGGAGUCGGCAAGUCAAGUCAUGCCCUAGAGCUACAGAGGCCAUCAUCCAGGUAAGAACAGCCACAGAAGCCACCCCGUACAGGCAUUCAGCCCACCUGCCUUCAAAACAGCCUGAAGAUGACUCGGGCUCUGAGUGUGGACUCUGGCCACCAGAAACCAAGACAAGUUUGUUCACGCUACUCCACCCUCAGCCGCCCAUGAAAUGCAGACCUAGAGAACUGCCUGGCUGAAGGGCUCAGAACAAGGGCUCUGGAGUCGGUUCCCUAGGCCCCAGCACUGCUUGGCUGUGGGACCUCAGUCAAUUCCUCUACCUCUCUGAGCUAAAUCAUCUUCACUUGUAAAAUGAAGAUAAUUAAGCUUGUCUUUCAGGUUUUUAGGCAGAUUAUGUGAGAAAAUGUGCUGGCCUCACAUCCAACCCUUUAUAAACAUCAUGGGAUUUAAUUAUCUCUAUUUUAUCAGAGAAGAUAAUAUUAGAGUCACAGGUGAACAGAAGCCAUUUCCUGAGCCCAGGGAGGCCAGGGCAGAGGAGACAAGAGCCCAGCUCUUUAAGUAUUUAUUUUAUUUAUUUUUACACAUGAGAAUGACUUCUCAAGUACAGAGAAAAAUAAAAAGUCGUCCAGAAGAGAGGGACAAUGGCGAUAUGUGCAGCUGCUAAGGGCACAGACUCUGGAGGAUGGACCAGGCCAGGGUUCAAAGGCUCUGCACUUAAAGACACAUGAAACAGUGGGCAAACCCUCCGCGCCUCAGUUUCCCCACCUGGGAAAUAGGGACACUGUCAGAGCCUUGACCAGGGGCCUGCUGUGUGACACUGGCCCCGGCUCUCGGCAAGAUCACGACAGACAGCAGUUGGAAACCCGCGGGUAUCAGCUCUGACCCGGGGUUGCCAUGAGCCUGGAGGCUGCCCGUGAGGCUGGGAAGGACACAGCACCGUCUCGGCCAGGGAAGGCUCUAGAUCUGGGAAGGGAAGUAUCAGUGGGUCUCAGCCAGGGCCCAUCCGCUGUUGUCUCUCUGGCUGCCACAGGUGAGACACACACGUGGGUUCCAUGGGGCGCCACGAGGAUGAGCUAGAAGGAGAGAGAAGGAGUUAGAAAGAGAGAGAAGGGCUGAUGGGAGCCAGGUUUCAGCCAGACCCCGGGGGCAACUUCGGAAGCCCCUUGUCUCUUAUAAAAGCUGUUCAUGCCCCUGAGUCCCCAGAAGGUGGAAACUUUCUCUCGGCCAGCCCUGUGUCCCCUGGAUUUUGUGGUGAGCAGAGGGAGAACAGAGACCCCAGGCCCCCGGUGCAGCCCCCCACUCCUGCGGUCACCUUCCGCCCCACUCACACCUCCUCUCUUGUCCCCUGUCCCCCCAUACAGCCCUCUCUCCUUUCCAGCGCCUGUGGCCUGCUGUCACCAGCUCUCCAGGAACCCGCCCAGGGAGCCCCACCUCCCCGUCCACCUCCCACCCCUGGACGGCUCCUUGAAUGCUCACUGUGAGAUUGCUGACCCCCACCCCAGGGGCUCAGAGCAAAGCUUUGCCACUUCCUGGCUGUGCCUGCUUAGGUAAGUGACUCAGCCCCCAAGUCCCCACCUCACAGGACUGCUACAGAGCCAGUGACAACCCUGAGGUCCACCCUAGGAGGAGACCUGGCCAGACUCCGGGGCCUGAGGAGCAGACGUGAGGCCGAUCUGUAUCAGCAACAGAGAGGGUUGGUUAUUCCAGAAAGCAUGCGGGGGAGGAGAAGAGAAAUGACAGCCUCCUGCCCAAUUUCCUCAGCAGCGUUGACGGGAGGCAGGCAUCUCGGUUGCAGCCGUGGGGAUCGAUGGGGCAGGCCGGCCUCUGCCUCUCAGGGUGACACGCGCUGCAUACACAAUGGCUCGAGCCUGCGUGUGGGGUAUAGGGUUAAAGGUGUCCAUGAAGCUCUGCUCCACAUGGUUGGCCUCUAGCUGUGCAGGGGCAUCCGUGGCCUGAAAGAAAGAGUGUGCUCAGCUUGGCGGACCCCUGGCCCCAUUGCUAGGGAGGGCUUUGGGUCAUGCUCCGCUGCCAAGGUGGGCAGGGGCAGCCAGGGGAGGGAACAGCAGUGAAUCGUGAACAAAACCCCUGCCCCUGGAGUCUCACAGCAGAGCAGCUUCUUUACGCAUUUGGACUCCAGACGGCGUAUCCUUUGAGGUCAGAUUUGGGUCUGCUUCCCUGGGAGACAGCCUUGUGUGUGGCACAUAGUAGGUACCUGUUUGCUUAACAACUGAAAUCCUGCGGCUCCUGUUUGCAUGGCACCUCACACUCCUGGCACAGUCAGACCGUGAACAUCAGGAAGGGACUACUAAGGCUCAGAGAAGGGAAGCAACUUUUGCAAAGCUACACAGCACAGUCUGCCCAGCAAGGCCUAGAAUGGGGGCACUGGCUCAGUGCAGGCGUCUCCUCCUCCAGCUCCUGCUCACAUUCACUGAGCGUGUUCAGGGCUGCGGAACAGCGAUUUUAUUAGAGUUCAAAGACCAUUUAUUUUCUCCUAAAAAUAACUGCAAAAUAAAUAACUGAGAAGAUC